AAGCAACACUCUGUGUCAGAUUAUUAAGACAGUCUGACACAGUUUCAGCUUGCUAAAGCAAGGAAAUUCAGCCUAUUGCAGCACUCUCCUCCCUGUGAGACAGACAUUAUGUAGACCUAAGCAGU
ensembl:snoRNA